rnacentral:rRNA from 1 species
UACAGAGGUCUCAAGCGUUGUUCGGAUUCAUUGGGCGUAAAGGGUGCGUAGGUGGCGCCGUAAGUCGGGUGUGAAAUUUCGGAGCUUAACUCCGAAACUGCAUUCGAUACUGCGGUGCUUGAGGACUGGAGAGGAGACUGGAAUUCAUGGUGUAGCAGUGAAAUGCGUAGAGAUCAUGAGGAAGACCAGUGGCGAAGGCGGGUCUCUGGACAGUUCCUGACGCUGAGGCACGAAGGCCAGGGAGCAAACGGG